AUCGGUUUCCUUAGAAACUGCGAGUGUUUGUUUACGUCAAGUGAGACAGGGAGGAGAAGGCCAGGAAUGAAGGACUUCUUGACCUAGUACGGACCAUUUUCCUGGACUCCUAGAGCACCUUGGAGCCUGGCACUGACCACUGGAGGCACGGUUACAGCGUAUUACAGCAGUGGAUCUCUUUAUGGAUAUACAGUGCUUGUGGAGACAUUUCAAGGCAAUAUUGUGAUGGAAUCCAAUAUCAGUUCACCGCAUUCUUACUUUCCUGUAGCCCAUUCUCCCCAAGUCGGUGUGUUACCUGAAGUAGCCUCUUUGAGUCGCGAUGAGCUGGAAGAUUUAUUAACGUGUGAUGACAAAUUAACUGAAUUUGUUGCUGCUCG
rnacentral:lncRNA from 1 species